AUGAGGCGGGAAUUCAUCGUAAGUUUCAAUUGAAUGAACUUGAGGAAAUACGGAAUGAAGCUUACGAGAAUGCUCGACUUU
rnacentral:pre_miRNA from 1 species